UACUUUGUUUUCUGACAAACUAAAUCUUAACUCUCUAUAGAGCUAUAUGAAUUAUUAGUGAAAUCAUACAGUAAAAAAGACUUAGAAAUAUUUAAUUUUCAGUUAGUUCUGAAAAAUUUUAACUAAGGAAACUCCAAGCAUUUCUUCAUAAAAAUGUACCGUUACCCCCAGCAAUGACCAUAACAUUAAAAAUACAUACUAUGCAUAAUCAUUAAAAGUGAUAAUUCCAAAGCCAACUCUAAAGAAAAGCCUAGGUCAGGCAGAGUUCAACAACCACUAAUCUUGAAUACUAAAUCCAAAACCCAGAGAACCCUCAUAUCAUCCACCAAUAUAUUAACAGCAAGUUGCUUUUGCCACGCUUAUUCCAUGAAAAUGCCCAAUAAACAAUAACAACUAGAGUUAGUAACAAAAUACUAACAAACAAAUAAAACCAUUCAGUACUUCUUAGAGCUUUUGGUUUUUGUUCUGAGAGAGACAUAUGUGUGUGUGUGUGUGUAUAUAUAUAUAUAUAUAUAUAUAUAUAUAUGGCAGAAUUUUAUUACUUAGUUUAUAAAACACCUUAUAAAGUUCCAAAAUACUGUACUGGUAUAUUUUGUAACAGGGAAUUAUUCUGAAAGUCAGUCCUUACAGUGUUGUAAUAUUUAUUAUAUCUUCUGAGAUAGUACUGUGGAUAGCGAUCUCAUCUUUUUAUUGUAAGAUCUUGCCUUUAUUCUGGCUUUUUCAUUUUUUUGAUAGGAGUAAUGUUAAGUGAUUUCUGCUGAAGUAGAUGUUUUAAAUCCUAACAAUUUCUUCUUUCUUGCCUUUCCUAUUCAACUUUUCUAUUUACACAGAUGACCUCUAGGAAAUCAGCAAACAGUCUUCUUUCCUGGGAAACGUACUCCCUCCCUUCCCCCAAAGUCCUGUUGUUUGGAGAAUCAUGAACUAAUGUUUAAACUAGAAUGAUUUCCAACACAUUCUCUUGCUACUACUGUAUUUUAAAGGUAGUUUAAAAAGUGUGGAAGAAAGGUUUGCCAACAGAAUCAGGUUUAACUAAAAAAAUAUGUACACUACUUUGACUCAGUAAACUCAUACUUGGUAUGGUUCAUCUUCUUCAUAUUUACUUUCACCCAUAUUAGAAAACAAUUAGCUUACUAAACAAAUUUGAGUAUUUGUGGAAAAAAUCUACUUUGAGUCUCUCAUUUGACUAAGAAUUACAGGAUAUUUGAUAAGCUUGUUUAAAAAUGGGCAUAUCCAAAUAUUAUUGUAAACACCCAAUGAUUUGUUUUACCUGCAAUAUAAGUAUUUUACUUAGCUGGCUUACAUAGUAGCUAAUAAUAUUUGUUAAUGUAAUUUAACUGCUGUGAACCUUUACUGAACAAAUAUUGAAAUUUAUACAAGUUAAAGAAAGAGACUCUCUAAUGACUUUUGUAAAAGCUUCCAUUUAAUAGUUAAGGAGAAAAGUUUAUAUGACAUACCAGAAGCAAUUAACAGCAGAUUUUACAUUUAAUAAAAAGAAAGAAGCAUAUGUAUUUGCUUUAUUAAUUCCAUCAUAAUUUGCAUUAGAGCUGUGGGUGUUUAAUGAGCAAAUUCCAACUAAAAUGCUAUAUUGAUUUUCUAAGUGAACUUUGUAAUAGCUAUCUACCUUACCAAAGCUCUCUGUUUACAGUUGUUUUCUUUACUAAAAAAUACAAAUGUUUUAGAGUUGAUGGACUUAGCAUAACGAUCAUUUUGAAAUAAAGAGCUCCAGUAUAAUAAGUUUUUUGGUAACAAAGACAAAGAUGUUAUUACAUUAUUCCAGAGCAGAUAAAAUUUAGCUGUUCAAUGUACUAUAUAAAUAUGUUUCAAGUACACUUUUAGUAAGCAUUGGAAAACAGAAAAGGAGUACUUGUGGCACCUUAGAGACUGUCUCUAAGUAGCCACAAGUACUCUUUUUUUCUUUUUUUUUUACGGAUACCGACUAACACGGCUGCUACUCUGAAACCUGUCAUUGGAAAACAGUCGGGGGUGUUUUUUUCAUUAGGUGAAUUUUAUUUAACAUUGCAGGAAUAACCUCUAUUAACUCUUGCAUGUCCUGAGAUACACGUGCUAUUGCUAAAAAACAAGUCUUCAUUUUACCUUAAUGCCUGAAUAUACAUUUUCAGUUCAUGUAUCAUGUUUCAAGGGGGGGAAAUUGUAUACAAAAUUUUAUUCUUGUUGGUCAGCUCUUGAGAUAAACAGGGGAGGGUUGGUUGGUACUUCGAUGGCAGGCUUCCAAGGAAAACCCAGGAGGGUGGAAUUGGUGAUUAAGUAGCUGGUUCUCAUUUCUUAGAGUCAGGCACUGAAUUAGUGUGCUAGCACGGAACUAUGGGCCCAUUGUGCUGCUGGAGGUGCCAUCUUUUGUAGUGGACAUAAGAACCCGAUUGCUUAUGUUCAUUCACAAUCCCAUGACACUUUUCAUAAACAUAGAUAGGGGCUGUGGAUCCUGAUUUUCCAACCUGGAUAACUGCAUCCUUUCUAUCAAAAUAUUUCCCAAAGAGUUUUAUUUGGACUCUCAUUCUUCAGUUCCUGUCCUAAAUAUAGCAUUAAAAUGUUGUGCUGUUAAACAGUUGCACUCCAGAGGUGGCAGUGUUUCAGUGGGUGAUGAUUUCUUUAUAAAGUUUGUAAAGCAUUUUGAGAUUCUUCUGGUUGAAAGAUGUGGUAUUGUUAAUAGUGGUAUUUUUCUGUAACAGAAUGCUAUAUUAUAUAAAAAUACUUUCUUUUCCCUCUUCA